CUGAGUAGAGUGGCGCACGGGUGAGUAACGCGUGGGUAAUCUCCCCUUGGAUUUGGGAUAACUCUGCGAAAGUGGAGCUAAUACCGGAUGGUCUGGCUUUAAAUGAUAAGUCGGUAAAGGAUGCCUCUGCAUAUGCAUUCGUCUAAGGAUGAGCCCGCGUCUCAUUAGCUAGUUGGUAGGGUAAUGGCCUACCAAGGCAACGAUGAGUAGCUGGUCUGAGAGGAUGAUCAGCCACACUGGAACUGAAACACGGUCCAGACUCCUACGGGAGGCAGCAGUGGGGAAUAUUGCGCAAUGGGCGAAAGCCUGACGCAGCAACGCCGUGUGAGGGAUGAAGGCUUUCGGGUCGUAAACCUCUGUCAGAAGGGAAGAACGGGCAUUGGUCUAAUAGGCCUUUGUUUUGACGGUACCUUCAGAGGAAGCACCGGCUAACUCCGUGCCAGCAGCCGCGGUAAUACGGAGGGUGCAAGCGUUAUUCGGAAUUACUGGGCGUAAAGCGCACGUAGGCGGCCUUGUAAGUCAGGGGUGAAAUCCCACGGCUCAACCGUGGAACUGCCUUUGAAACUGCAGGGCUUGAAUCCUGGAGAGGGUGGCGGAAUUCCUGGUGUAGGAGUGAAAUCCGUAGAUAUCAGGAGGAACACCGGUGGCGAAGGCGGCCACCUGGACAGGUAUUGACGCUGAGGUGCGAAAGUGUGGGGAGCAAACAGGAUUAGAUACCCUGGUAGUCCACACCGUAAACGAUGGAUACUAGGUGUCGGGGACUUGAUCUUCGGUGCCGUAGCUAACGCGUUAAGUAUCCCGCCUGGGGAGUACGGUCGCAAGGCUGAAACUCAAAGAAAUUGACGGGGGCCCGCACAAGCGGUGGAGUAUGUGGUUUAAUUCGAUGCAACGCGAAGAACCUUACCUAGGCUUGACAUCCUGGGAAUCCUGCA
rnacentral:rRNA from 1 species